rnacentral:rRNA from 1 species
CAUGCAAGUCGAACGCUUUUUCUUUCACCGGAGCUUGCUCCACCGAAAGAAAAAGAGUGGCGAACGGGUGAGUAACACGUGGGUAACCUGCCCAUCAGAAGGGGAUAACACUUGGAAACAGGUGCUAAUACCGUAUAACAAGUAAAACCGCAUGGUUUUACUUUGAAAGGCGCUUUUGCGUCACUGAUGGAUGGACCCGCGGUGCAUUAGCUAGUUGGUGAGGUAACGGCUCACCAAGGCAACGAUGCAUAGCCGACCUGAGAGGGUGAUCGGCCACAUUGGGACUGAGACACGGCCCAAACUCCUACGGGAGGCAGCAGUAGGGAAUCUUCGGCAAUGGACGAAAGUCUGACCGAGCAACGCCGCGUGAGUGAAGAAGGUUUUCGGAUCGUAAAACUCUGUUGUUAGAGAAGAACAAGGAUGAGAGUAAAAUGUUCAUCCCUUGACGGUAUCUAACCAGAAAGCCACGGCUAACUACGUGCCAGCAGCCGCGGUAAUACGUAGGUGGCAAGCGUUGUCCGGAUUUAUUGGGCGUAAAGCGAGCGCAGGCGGUUUCUUAAGUCUGAUGUGAAAGCCCCCGGCUCAACCGGGGAGGGUCAUUGGAAACUGGGAAACUUGAGUGCAGAAGAGGAGAGUGGAAUUCCAUGUGUAGCGGUGAAAUGCGUAGAUAUAUGGAGGAACACCAGUGGCGAAGGCGGCUCUCUGGUCUGUAACUGACGCUGAGGCUCGAAAGCGUGGGGAGCAAACAGGAUUAGAUACCCUGGUAGUCCACGCCGUAAACGAUGAGUGCUAAGUGUUGGAGGGUUUCCGCCCUUCAGUGCUGCAGCUAACGCAUUAAGCACUCCGCCUGGGGAGUACGACCGCAAGGUUGAAACUCAAAGGAAUUGACGGGGGCCCGCACAAGCGGUGGAGCAUGUGGUUUAAUUCGAAGCAACGCGAAGAACCUUACCAGGUCUUGACAUCCUUUGACCACUCUAGAGAUAGAGCUUCCCCUUCGGGGGCAAAGUGACA